GUCUAAUCGUUGGGCUGCGGGAGAUACUGCUGGGCUAGGGGACGGGAGAGGCCGGCGGUAUUUCUGGGGGAGGGGUAAAAUCCUAUAAUCCCAGGAGGACCACCAGUGGCGAAGGCGGCCGGCUAGAACGUGCUCGACGGUGAGGGAUGAAAGCUGGGGGAGCGAACCGGAUUAGAUACCCGGGUAGUCCCAGCUGUAAACGAUGCGGGCUAGGUGUUGGACCGGCCAUGAGCCGGUUCAGUGCCGAAUGGAAGCAAAUAAGCCCGCCGCCUGGGAAGUACGGCCGCAAGGCUGAAACUUAAAGGAAUUGGCGGGGGAGCACCACAAGGGGUGUAAGCUGCGGUUUAAUUGGAGUCAACGCCGGGAACCUUACCAGGGGCGACAGCAGCAUGAAGGUCAGACUGAAGGUCUUGCCAGACAAGCUGAGAGGAGGUGCAUGGCCGUCGCCAGUUCGUGCCGUGAGGUGUCCUGUCAAGUCAGGCAACGAGCGAGACCCCUGUCCUUAGUUGCUAAUAGAGCCCAUCGGGUUCUAAGCACACUAAGGAGACCGCCGCCGAUAAGGCGGAGGAAGGAGGGGGCCACGGCAGGUCAGUAUGCCCCGAAUCCCCUGGGCCACACGCGGCUUACAAUGGCAAGGACAAUGGGUUCCAACCCCGAGAGGGGGAGGUAAUCCCGAAACCUUGCCUCAGUUGGGAUCGAGGGCUGCAACCCGCCCUCGUGAACCUGGAAUCCCUAGUA
rnacentral:rRNA from 1 species